UACGUAGGGUGCAAGCGUUGUCCGGAAUUAUUGGGCGUAAAGAGCUCGUAGGCGGUUUGUCGCGUCGGCUGUGAAAAGCCCGGAGCUCAACUCCGGGUCUGCAGUCGAUACGGGCAGACUUGAGUGUUGCAGGGGGAGACUGGAAUUCCUGGUGUAGCGGUGAAAUGCGCAGAUAUCAGGAGGAACACCCGUGGCGAAAGCGGCUCUCUGGAACGGUACUGACGCUGAGACGCGAAAGCUGGGGGAGCGAACGGG
rnacentral:rRNA from 1 species